CAACACCACUUGUGUGUAUAAAGACGCCAAAAUGAUACGCAUGCCACUAUCUGCCAAUGGAUUGUGGACGCCUAGGCUGAUAUAUCAGUCUCAACUCUGGUCCGAGCUUUCGCGAAGGCAGGAAUAAUAACUGAACUGCCAGGGAAGAGCAGCGACACUGACACGGAUAAUGACGAGAGGGAGCCGGGGCAUAAUGAAUGCCGUACUCGCCCAACUGUUCAAUUCGGAGACGGAAGACAAAGAAUUUGACGGAUUUGUGGACGGGGAUAUGUAAAUAUGUACAUUAACAUUUGAACAACGUCGUGUUAUUGUGCAAUGUUUGCAUUGUAAAUCGUUCAACUGUCCAAAAAACUUCAAUUCGGACACGGAAGAGGAAGAAUUCGACAGAUUCAUGGACGGGGAUAUGAGAGGCAUGCAGUAUAGUAUACUAUGGCAGAAGAAUGGACUCGCUGGAGUUCGCCGUUGCAGAUCAGCGUGCGCAAAGUACAGUACUUUAUAAGGAACAGCAAUAACAUCUCCACUUACGGAUGAUCUAAAGUAUGAUGUGUCAGUGGAGGAACACUGCACACCAAUAGCAGUACCAUAGGCACGCUGACCAUCCAGCUGCAGCCCUGGCCCUGUGGGUAAGACAGGCAGGUCAGAAUGCCGCUGGCUGUCCACCCACUACGCAGCAGUAUUAACAGGCUUGUAGCAAAUGCAUGGACCAGUAGCAUGGCCUGGUGCUGUCCCCCUGCUACACAGCCAGUCCACCCCAGCCCUCCAGGACAGAUAUCCAGGAAGUAUGCUUGACUUGGCUGUGAAUGUGGAUGGCACAUGUCCUUGUACAGAGUGCCACUCACAUUAUAAAAACUGAGUGUAGCCUACGUCACACAAGAAUGAGGGAUGGUGAAGCUAUUUCUGAACCAGGAUUGUCUGUCCUGGGGUAAUACUACACUGCCAAUGUUUUGACUUCAACAUAGUAUAAGCCGUUUGAAGAUACACUGACUUAAUCAACAUUCUGCAAUGUCAGUGUUUUUCUUCCUUUUUUAACAGCUAUGAUCAUCAUGUCAAAAAAACUAACACCAUGUGAGUCCAUAUGCAAGCUAGAAAAAAUGAGUAGGAAAAGAACUAUGCCAGAUUUAAAGGGGGAGCCAACCCCAAAAUUUUCUCUGUAAUAAUAUGGUCUGUGCUGCCCAACUAGUCAACACACAGUACCAAUCAAGGCUCACCAGUUUUAUUAAGCUGAGCUGUGGUUGGUUGUGAGUCUUGUGACCUAAGACCUGCCAACUGUGAUGUCAUUGUCAGUCAACAGCAAGUGGCAAAAUGGCCGCCCUCUUCAUCUUCUUUUGAACCUCACGAGGGUCACGGGUGUGCUGGAGCCUAGCUCAGCUGACUUCGGGCAGAGGACACCCUUAACCAGUUGCCAGCCAAUCGCAGGGCACACAUCGACAAACAACCACACUCACACAUACGGGCAAUUUGGAGUGGUCGAGAUGGAUAAAGUGGGUGAAUUUUGUUGCAAUAUCCACAAACGCAAUAUUAAUCAGAAUGCCAUCUUUAGACUAGUGGGGACAGAUAUAACAUAUUAAUGUGCUAGGUGCCUGGUGAAAAAGCUGAAAUCCUGUUUGUUUGUUUGGUGUUUGUUUGUUUGUUUGUUUGUUUGUUUGUUUGUUUGUUUGUUUGUUUGUUUGUUUGUUUGUUUGUUUGUUUGUUUGUUUUUUACUUGAACCAAGAACUGCUGUAUCUUAGACAUUAUAUGGGAGCAAUGAGGUUCAGGGUGUUCUGCCUUAAAUGUGUUAUUCCUUCAGGGGAAGAACAGCCUAAUAGGCAACAUACCUGCAUUCUGAAUGCCUAAAUAUAGCAUGCAUGUUGUGGUCCAGCAUGGCCUUGAUGACCCCUGACUAACUUCUGGCCAUAGUGGCACAGCAGUAAAACCCAUCUAUUUGGCUGGGAGAAGGACGUGUCGACAUUGUUAUGCAUGGACAUUUGUUUUUUUGUUUGAUACAAACAAUACAGAUGCAGAUUCCUGUUUUGAGUAAUCUUAGGAAGGCAGCAUCAGUUGCCAUGGCAACUUUGCACCCUCGUUUUGUGCGCCGUAGGAGACUCACCUGAAGUGCAAUGAAUUGAGUCGUUUUUGAACACCCAAUGAGGUUAAGGCUUUUUCUAUAGGAGCGCGUAUGAAGCGGAAACAGCUUUAAGAUGUUCAUAAAAUCAAACGUGAAGAGUCUUUUGAAUGACACCCACAGGGAAUGCAUUCAUUGAAGAGUUGCUCCACCCAGAGUGGAUACGUACAUUCCACUUAAGUUGAUGGAAGGUUCUAUCCAGCCAAGAAAGUGUGCAACUGAGAGAAUUGUCUGGUUUGAGCAUGCAGGAGAAUUUCUAAGCACAGUAAGAACAUAACAUUCAUCCAUUAUCUGAACUGCCUUUUCUUCCCGAGUGUUGCGGGCUAGCGCUGGUGCCCAUCCCAGCAGUCUUGGGCAGUUGGCGGGGUACACUCUGAGCUGGUCGCCAGCCAAUCACAGGGCACACAUAAACAGACAUUCACACUCACACCUUCGGACAAUUUGGAGUGGUCAAUCGGCUUAGCAUGCAAGUUUUUUGGAAUGUAGGAGGAAACAGGAGCACACGGAUGAAACCCACGCAGGCACGGGGAGAGCAUGCAAACUCCACACAGGAUGGCCAGUAUUGAACCCACAACCUCUACACUCUGAGGCGAACGUGAUUGAGAGUACAGUGAAAGCAAAGCAUGAGUGGUACAAAUAAAAGCUAUUUCUCACUCUAAA